rnacentral:rRNA from 1 species
CCUACGGGAGGCAGCAGUGGGGGAUAUUGGACAAUGGGGGGAACCCUGAUCCAGCGACGCCGCGUGAGUGAAGAAGUAUUUCGGUAUGUAAAGCUCUGUCAGCAGGGAAGAAAGAAAUGACGGUACCUGACCAAGAAGCCCCGGCGAACGACGUGCCAGCAGCCGCGGUAAUACGUAGGGGGCAAGCGUUAUCCGGAAUUACUGGGUGUAAAGGGAGCGUAGACGGUGAAGUAAGUCUGGAGUGAAAGGCCGGGGCCCAACCCCGGGACUGCUCUGGAAACUAUUGAACUUGAGUGCAGGAGAGGUAAGCGGAAUUCCUGGUGUAGCGGUGAAAUGCGUAGAGAUUAGGAGGAACACCAGUGGCGAAGGCGGCUUACUGGACUGUAACUGACGUUGAGGCUCGAAAGCGUGGGGAGCAAACAGGAUUAGAUACCCCUGUAGUC